GGAAACAAGGGCGUAUGGUGGAUGCCUUGGCUUAAGAAGGCGAUGAAGGACGUAGCGUGGCGGCGAUACGCUUCGGGGAGGUGCCGAGCAACCUUUGAUCCGAAGAUGUCCGAAUGGGGAAACCCCUCUGCGUAAAACGCAGAGACUCUGGCGCAAGCCGGGGAGCGUACCCUGGGAAGUAAAACAUUUCAGUACCAGGAGGAGUAGAAACCAAUAAGUAUUCCGUCAGUAGCGGCGAGCGAACGCGGAGAAGCCCAAACCGAAUUUUUCGCAAGAAAAACUCGGGGUUGUAAGGCAGUGACGUCGUAUUUAUACGAGGAAAGUUACCAAAUUGUUUGUUAGUGGAAGUUGCUGGAAAGCGACACCCCAGUGGGUGAUAGUCCCGUACACGAAAACAAACAGUCUUUCUUGUUGCUGUUCUUGAGUACCUCAAGACACGAAUAGCUUGAGGGAACCCGCCGGAACUAACCGGCAAGGCUAAAUACUUCUUAAGACCGAUAGUGAACUAGUACCGUGAGGGAAAGGUGAAAAGCAGCCCGGUGAGGGCGGUGAAAUAGACCUGAAACCAUAUGCUUACAAGGAGUCAUAGCGGGUGCAGCACACAGUUUGUAAAGUAAAAAGUUUUUAAAGUCUGUAAAGUAGACAAGACGCUCUGCUUUAUGAACUUUCAACUUUAUGAACUUUAUAACUUGCGCGUUGCAUCCGUGGUGGCGUGCCUAUUGAAGAAUGAGCCAACGAGUUGAUGCAUACUGCAAGGCUAAGCCCUUUCAGGGUGGAGCCGUAGGGAAACCGAGUGUUAAUAGCGCGACAAGUAGUAUUCAUCAGACCCGAAGCCAGAUGAGCUUACCAUGAGCAGGAUGAACCAAGACGAAAGUCUUGGGGAGGUCCGAACGAUAGAGCUGUGCAAUACUCUUCGAUGACUUGUGGUAAGGAGUGAUAAGCUAAUCGAAUCUGGUAAUAGCUGGUUCUCUCCGAAAUAGCUUUAGGGCUAGCGUCGUGUGUUCCUCUUGGGGGUAGAGCUCUGGAUGGUCUAAAUAGGUAGAAAUACCGUUAGACCAAUCAAACUUCGAAUACCAAUGAGUUAAGCACGGCAGUUAGACCGUGGGGGCUAAGCUCCAAAGGUCAAAAAGGGAAGAGCCUUUGAUCUCCAGUUAAGGUCCCAAAAUCUGCGCUCAGUACAUCACAAGGAAGUGGAAUUUCUUAGACAAUGAGGAUGUAGGCUUAGAAGCAGCCAUCAUUGAAAGAAAGCGUAACAGCUCACUCAUCGAGAGAUUCUGCACCGAAGAUGAUCGGGGUUAAGCGCAGUACCGAAACUGAGGGCUUGGUAUAUCUUCGGAUAUACCAAUGCGGUAGGAGAGUAUUCGCAUCUGCAGUGAAGCCAAAGGGGUGACCCAUGGUGGAGCGUUGCGAAGUAAGAAUGUUGGCACAAGUAACCACAAUGCGGGUGAGAAACCCGCACGCCGAAAGACUAAGGUUUCCUCCUCGAUGAUUGUCAGAGGAGGGUUAGUCGGGCCUAAGGGGAUGGCGAAAGCCGCACCUGAUGGACACAUGGUUAAUAUUCCAUGACCGAGGCGCGUUUCGAUGGAGUGACGAAGUCGAGUAUGCCGUGCGCAUUAUUGGAUUUGACGUUCUUGGCUCGAAGAUUAUUCCCAGGUAAAUCCGGGAAUAUGCCUUUAAUGGUGAAUCAAAGGAGCAGAGAAAAUGUCGGCGAAAGCCGGUAAAUAUGGCAAAUCAGACUUCCAAGAAAAACUUCUAAGAUUAAACGCGACUUGACCGUACCGUAAACCGACACAGGUAGUCAGCUCGAGUAGAGCAAGGCGAACGAAUGAGAGGUCUCCAAGGAACUCGGCAAAAAAGCGGCCGUAACUUCGGGAUAAGGCCUGCCUUUCGCAAGAAAGGCCGCAGCUAAAGUCUGCCUGGCGACUGUUUAUCAAAAACACAGCUCCCUGCGAACUCGUAAGAGGAUGUAUAGGGGGUGACACUUGACCAAUGCCAGAAGGUCAAAUAACGGCGGUUUCUCUCUGCCGCAAGGCAGGGAGAAGCUGACUGUUAUAAGCCCUGGUGAAUGUCGGCGAUAACUAUAAUCGUCCUAAGGUUUCCUUACUCUGCAAAGAGUAAGGGAAGGAUUGGGACGAUUAGAGUUCGACAUGAAAACGCACACGCUACCUUACUUCGUGGUAACACGGAGAGUACACAUGGCUCCAAGAGACUAUACGCCAUGCCCCUACAACAUUUUGCAAAAAAUGUUCGGGUGAAGACAUAGUCCUUCGUAAGGAAUAGAAGAGCGCAAUUCCUUGUCGGGUAAGUUCCGACGCGUUGAAUAGUGUAACGUCUGGGCAACUGUCUCGGAGACCCGUUCGGUGAAAAUACAAUACCGGUGAAGAUGCCGGUUACCUGCAGCUAGACGAAAAGACCCCGGAAGCUUUACUGCAACUUGGUAUUGCCUGUAUGUUCUUGAUGCGUAGCGUAGAUGGUAGGAUUUGAAGCGUUGAUCUCGGUUGACGUGGAUCCGUCGAUGAAACACCAUCCUUUAAGAAUAUACAUGCUAACCUUGACGGCAAAAACGUUAAGAGACAGUACCUGGCGGGCAGUUUUAGUGGGGCGCUACCCUCCUAAAGAGUAACGGAGGGGUCCAUCAAGGUUCUCUAGGCGCGAAUGGAAACCGUGCCGAUAGUGCAAUGGCAUAAGAGAGCCUAACUGUAAGACGUAAGUGUCGAGCAGACGCGAAAGCGGGGCAUAGUGAACCGACCAUUCGCAUUAGAUGCGGUGGAAGAUUAUCUGCUAAAAGCUACUCCGGGGAUAACAGGCUAGUUCCGCCUAAGAGUCCAUAUCGACGGCGGAGUUCGGCACCUUAACAAAUCGGGGUGCCAUGCUCGAAAGAGCAUUAGUCGUCUCUGUAUAUGUGAGACCAAUGAACCCACAUAUACAGGGAUCAAAAAAUUUGGCUUAUAACGGUGAACUCCUACGGAACAAUGUGUUCCGAGGACGAUACCGUGGGAAGUCGUGAACUUCAUUGAGAAGUUCUUUGUUGAGAGAUGAAAGAGAUGUUCUGGGGAGGUAAAGGCAACACCCGACGUUGCUCAGGGUACAACCCCUGCUUUCCUACACAUGGGUAAACAAUCUGUUUGCCUUCUCAAUGAAGUUCACGACCCCGUAGAGACUUGCGUUUGUGAGACGCGGAGUUUCCCUCAGUAAGGGGGAAGCUAACACGCCAAACUCCUCAUUCAACAAUCUGUUGAGAAGGAUGAAGAUAUAGUCCGAUCCUGCGAGUAAUCGCAGACAAAUUUGACCGACAGCGAUGUCGGCUCACCACAUCCCGGGGCUGGAGAAGGUCCCAAGGGUUUGGCUGUUCGCCAAUUAAAGUGGUACGUGAGCUGGGUUCAGACCGUUGUAAAACAGGUUGGUCUCCUAUCUGCUGCAGGCGUUGAUUCUUGAAGGGCUUCGUUCUUAGUACGAGAGGACCAGAACGAACGGACCUCUGGUGUACCUGCUGUCCUGCCAAGGGCACCGCAGGGUAGCUAUGUUCGGACCGGAUAACCGCUGAAAGCAUCUAAGCGGGAAACCGUCCCUAAGAUGAGGAAUCGUUAUAGACCCCUAGGAGAUGACUAGGUUGAUAGGUGCUAGGUGUACGCAGAGUAAUCUGUUUAGCCGAGGCAUACUAAUUGGUCGAUC
rnacentral:rRNA from 1 species